rnacentral:rRNA from 1 species
UACAGAGGUCCCGAGCGUUGUUCGGAUUCACUGGGCGUAAAGGGUGCGUAGGUGGUGAGGUAAGUCGGAUGUGAAAUCUCCGGGCUCAACCCGGAAAUGGCAUUGGAAACUACCUUGCUAGAGGAUUUGAGGGGGGAUUGGAAUACUUGGUGUAGCAGUGAAAUGCGUAGAUAUCAGGAGGAACACCAGCGGCGAAGGCGGCGCUCUGGGCCGGAACUGACGCUGAGGAGCGAAAGCGUGGGUAGCAAACAGG